rnacentral:lncRNA from 1 species
UAUAAAAACAAACAAAAUACAUCCUUAGGAUUACACAUAUCCCUAUGGUAGCAAUUUUCCACAAUCCAUUAUUACCAGUGAAAAUAUUUGCAUUUGCCUGUGUUUCUAGAAAAUAAUACAUUGUGUAGUGAACAUGGCUUUAUAGCAAAGGUUAAUUGUGUAUGUAUUUGAUAUGUUUUCUUAGCUAUAAUGAAAAUGGACUAGGGGGUAGGGAAAAUCACAAAUUAUGAGCAUAUAUUUUUAUCAUCAUUUAUUAAAAUCAGCCAAAAAAUAAAAGCCUCAGUGAAAAUUAGCCUCAGACUAAUAUAGAUAAUAAUAAUAAAAGCCUCAGACUAAAAUGACAGGACAUGGACACGUCCAAUAGUAAGCUAUUAAAUCAGCUUCCCAAAUAAUGCCCUGAUUUGUGGAUGUGUUCCAAUUCUGUGAUAUAAAUACCACCAACAUAGCUAAUUCUGAGAUGACAAGAUAAUAUCACUGAGCAGAGCUGGGAAGAGAUGCCCAACAGCAAACUCCAGUACACCACUGUUUACACAGAAUAGCUCAUUUAAUCUUCACAACAAGCCAUAUUUAUAUUUUCCGAGUGUGUUUGUACUAAAUGGAUUCAAUAACUAUUAAUAGCAUUAAUGAAUUAAUUUACUUCAGUUGCAUGAAGCAUCUGAGGAGAAUAAUAUUUAGAAUUGAUAUUUACUGAGCACAUACUAUAUACCAAGUUCCAUGAUAAAGUGUUCAUAUAUAAAUUCAUUGCAUCUUUAAAAUGACACUAUGUGGUAGGUACUCUUAUUUAUAUAUGAAGAAACUGAGGUCCAAAAAGGCUUAAAUAACUUGCCAAAGGUCCUACAAAUAGUAAGUGUUGACCAAGAUCUAGAGUGGUUAACCAAUGACCUAUAUUACUUCUUAGUUCCUUUGAACAUGUUAAGUGCUGACAUGACUUAGCAACAAAAUGGAAUACAUAGAAAAUAGUUACAUAAUUCAUGACAGUGUAAAACAUAUUUCACUCAGAGUUUCGGUAUUUUUGAUGACAGAGCCUGCUUCAUUAAAAUAAAAUUAUAUACCUAUUGUCCCAUUAAGCCUAUUGUGAAUUACAUAUCAUAGGCAUGCAACAGAUGUUUGGCAACUAAAUGCAGACACCUGGACAUCACAUAUAUAUGGGACCCUGACAUAGAGCAACCCUUGGUGAGUUAUCCUCAAUAGCCUAGGCCAGGUCUCAUGAGGUAUUUAUUUAUUUAUUUAUUUUUAAAGUAGCCUACUUUGCUUUCUCCCAUUAAAUGUAAGUCAACUAUUCUAUUUCCUAACCACCUCCCCUUCCCCACGUGAGGAGGAAAGGAUAAAGUAUUUAUUUAAUAUGGAGGGUGCAUGUCAGGAAAAAGUGAAGAUUUGUUCUGAAAGAGGAAAUAGUGGAAGAGCAAAUACAAUGGAUCACUAAAUAUGAAGUUUCCAUAGGAAGCAAUUUUCUUCUCCCCUGGGAAUCCUAGGAAAUGCGGGCAGAGUGCAAACAUGUGGUCCUAAGAAGCUCUUUAGUCAUCUACCAGCUAAGACCCUGGCUUUUUGGCUGGAAUCACUCCCUGGGAAUUCAACUCACACUAGCCCCAUCAUCAUUUCUUAGUUUGUUUAGCCUGAGUGGCUAGGGCUUCUUUCCUUUUUUAAAGGGAACAAUUUAAACCAGAUUUUUUAAAUCCAUGCUAUUAAUUCUAUCCUUCUGUGGGUUCCAGGUUAUUAGAAAAUUCUAAUGUUGUUAUCAGAUCCUAUUUCUCCCCUAACCUUUUCCUUAAAUUCUUUCUGAUAGGGGCUAGGAUGCAGGCAAGCAGUCUGGGUUAAAGAGACUGAAAGACCCCAUCAAAGAUUCUCACAUAAGUACAUUGACGUCUUGAGACGAAGAGAGGGAAACCAACUGCCUGAACACCCGCUAAAAGGUCCAUUCCUGACACACUUUAAAGUUUAUUGUGAGCAAACAUCUCUUGUUAAAUGUAAACAGCAUCUCACUGGAGGUCACAGACUUGCUGCUGCAGCAUAUCCCAAGGUAAUACCACUUUAAGCUCCACAUAAACUCUUAAGCAGUUUCUAUCCUAAAACCUGACCGUAGGUGGUACUGUUUUUUACGAUAUGUUAUAAUAGUGCAAUAAAUCUGUUAGCUUAAAAUCGAAUCUCCGUGGCCUUUUAGAGAAAUCAUCAUUAAAUGCAGGGUCCUGUUAAUGAUGCCAUCGAAGUGAAAUUGUUUAAUCUGCUAAGGGGGUGAAAGGUCAUCAAAUGAAUUUUUUAUAAUACAUCAACUUGACACGCAAUAGGGAAAACUGUAAUAGAUAAAAGCAAAGGAAAAGGGCACUGUCUUCUUCUGAUAGGUCAAUAGCAGCCAAGAGAGUCACUCAUCCACUUUCCUUUCAUGAUGGGCUCCUUUUGCAUUUAAUAUGGACACCCAAUUAAUACCUCAGCACCACAGACAACCUCAUUUUAGGUGACUUAUAGCAAUUUCUCCCCCUUCCCUGAAAUGAAAGUGAUCACAAUACAUCAUAGCAUUGUGCGAAUUAACGUUAAUUGAUUCAAGUUACCAAGCAAUGAUGGGCCACUUAUAUAAUCUAGGCGUUAUUGGGUGCUAGAAGGGAUGGAGGGAAGAUUAGAUUCCAGUGUCCGUUGCUGUGACGACGGGAGUCACCUGAUGCCUUGUUAGACAGUUGUAAGGUUCUAUUGCUGGCCCCAGUGGGGUCGUCAGUAAACUGGAGUGAUGUCCAAACAUCAUUACAUGCUGCUCCAAUAUUAAAGCAAAGGGAUUAGCAACUUAUUGCAAGCAACCUGGAUUUGUCAUUGUGCUGUCGUUAUCCAAUUUCCAACUGCUAAUGUGACUGUAGCCUGCAGGCAGAAGGACCUACAGCCAAACUUUAAAAAAUGGGGGAGAAAAGUUCCCUCCAUUCAUCCCAGUUUUUACCAUUAUUUAAUAGCUUCCAAUACCCAGUUAGGUAUGUGAGAGAUUUUUUUUUCUGCAAUGCUUAAAUGCAGGCUAUAGGAGAAAAGUCAAGAAAAUACAGAAAUUUCCCAAUUAAGAGAUCACUCCUAUUCAUGUCAUUAUUCUUGCUUUUCGAUUCCACCAGAUCUGAAAUGUUUACCCUGUAGAAGAUGGAAUUAUUUCUAUUUGCAUGGAAAACUCAGAAAGCAAAGACAAUGAGCUCAUGAGCAACUUGAGUACAGAUAUCAGCCUUAUUCACCUUUGCAUAUGUCCUUCUGCUCCCAUAUACUCAACCAGUGCCCGAUAUACAAACCAAGAGAGAAGAAACAUCAACAUUUCCUGAGUAUGUACCAUGUUCCAGCUAUUCUGAAAGUCUUUCAACCAACAGUUCUUAUUUUAUUUAAUUAUCAUAGCAAACUGAGCGGUGUGUUUUUAUUGCUUCCAUUUUCCAAAUAAGAAAGUUGAACUUGUAGCUGUACUUGAAGGACUGUGAGAUAACAGAACUAAAUGUUAGAAGCAGCCUGGUUCCCUGAGUCACCACCAGGAGGGCAGCUACCAGGAGAGUCACCCAACCUUCUUCAGGCUGAGAUGUGAGUAAAACAAAGUUUUUCUAUUCUUAAACAACUGAGAUUUGGAGAUUAUUUGUUAAUUGGAGUAACUCUGUCUCAUACAAUAUCCAUGUUUUAUGUAAAUAAAGAAAAUUUAAAAAGUAAGUACAUACAGAGAGGCAAUGAACAAAUAAUGCUGAGGUCCCAGUUAGUUUAGAAGCAAAAGGAAGAGAAAAAUACAAGCAAUCUGACAUUGUGACCUACACUACAGCUACCAUUUAAAGAGGCUCCAAGGGGAUCUAUAGGACAUCGUUGUCUUCAUUCUGUGCUCUUGGAAGUUCACUAAGAAAUGACUGUGGAUAAGGUUUGCCCUGCUAGAUAUUCCCCCACUUGAUGGCCAGCUUAAAACUGAUUUAGAAGAUUUUAGAGACUGCUAGGGAUUCACAGCUUUACUAAGGUCUGAAAAGCAAGCACUUAAGCAGCAUACUGCAUGCCAAGAAACAAAAUCAGAAGGUACAAGCAGCUGGUUUGACCUUUGAGAAAAGUUUGGCAAAAGGGCAAGAGCAUAUUUAUAACUCCUAUGGGACAGUUCAUGUGCUUUCCAUUGGACUUGCUCUGUGUCAAAGGCCAAUUUCCAUCCAUUAUGAUUCACUAAGUUAGUUUUAUGAAUAUUAUGUUUAGAGAAAAUCACACACUGGGUCAAAAGCAAAAUUAGAGCAUAUCCAUCAUUGGGAAGUUUAUCAUUUCACCAACUAUAAAAUUCUUUUUGCUUGAAUUUAAGGCUGAUUUUCCCUGAAAUACAUGAUUUUCCAGAUAAAACUAGCCACUGAUCUUUCAAGAAUAGUUUUCUGGGUCAAUAGAAGCCGCCUUCUGGGAAAAUAUUACACCCCAUUACACAUCUGGCCAAUUCUUUGAGGCCAUUCAAACUGUUAGGAGUAAGAGUGGGAGAAUUCCUUCCUGUCCUCUGAGACAAUCAUUUUAUACCCCAAAACUUCAACCUCGUUAUUCUUAUCUUAGGGCAUAAUUACAAUGUUAUUAUUGGUCAUAAAAUUAACCAGAUUUUCCUCUCUUUUCUUUUCCUCUUCAGCAUUUGACUCCCUGACCUUCUUCAACAGAAAAGUCUAUGGGCUGAUUAUACGCUAAGAAUAGAAGUAUUUCCUCUUACUUGUUUUAAAUUUUCCCACUGUUAAUUUCUUUGAGAGCAUACUUGUUCUCAUAUUACAAAACAAUGUUAAAAAAAAUUUUUUUAAAGAAUUUUUACUACUUCUAUAAAAUCUGAAAAUUUUUGCUCUUGUAUCCCAGUGUUUCUGAGAUUGGUCCCUUUCGUUAUCUCACCAUCCAGAGGUCCUAGCCUACAUUUACGUUGGCCUAUAGUUACAUGAUUCAACUUAUAACCUAAGGCCCCUUGCCAGUUGCUCCCUGCACUUCACUUUACUAUUUCCCGAAGCAACUUCUUUGUUUUAGUUGAGGAGGGUUGCUACCUUCCUGUGGCAGUGGUUGCCAAAGUAUUGUUUUAAGAAUCAUUACCAGGCCAUGUAAGGACUUGGUAGAAAAAAUGGUUUUAUAGGUUAGCAGUCUGCUGGUGUGAGGGGUGGAAGAUAUGGUGGAGCCUUGGAAAACUCACUGUCAGGAAAACACAGCUAUACCUCCUAUGCAGACACUUUGCUCAACAGCACUUAGGCACAACUUACCUGCUGUCUAACCCAGAACUCCAUCCAAAUUCCAUUCCACUUAUCCACGUCUGACACUUCUUAAGUUUCUAUAAAGAUUUUUCUAACACUCUUUCUCUGCUGAUCACUGGCUGACAAAAUUCAUUCUAUAAUUCACUCUGAAAUUGACAGCAUUGUCCUAGAUGGAUGGCAUGCUUGGAUGACAGCACCUAAAUCUUACCUAGAGAUUCAAGGUGAGAAGGUUUUUGAACCCUUAACUCAUGUUCACCUUGUAAAGAAGGAUGAUCAUCCUUCUACUGUUUAUAUUAAAAUGAUUAGACUUGGUAAUCUUUAAAACCACAACAAAAGCUGGACUUCUUUCCAAAGAACCAGAACGCUUUACCUCUGACUUUGUCUUCUGCUAAUUCCCUUCCUGGUCAUUCUGCUCAAGCCACUCUGACUUCCUUGCUAAUCCUCACACACUGCAGGCACUCUCCCCACUUGGGGACUCUGCCAAGGCAGAUCUCUCUACUUUUCUCCCAGGUGUUCCUGUGGCUCAAUCCCACACCCUCUUCUCUGUCUCCUUCUCAGUGAGGCCUACUUUGGUCAGCCUAUGUACAAGCAUUCUUUUUGCUUUCUAUGAUGCUCUACAUUUUUUCUUUUGUCUAUAGCACUUAUAACUUUAUAAUCUACUAGAGAAUUUACUUAUUUAUUAUGUAUAUUACUUAGUCACUCCUCUAAGUAAGCUAAGAAAGUAAGCCCUAUGAGAGCAGGGUUAUUUGUCUAGUUUUGACACUUUACAACUAGCCAGAAAAGCACCAGGCACAUAGUAGACUCAGUAAUAUGUGUUAAAUUGAAUAAACUUAAUGCAUCCAUUCGUUUUCAAUGAUUAACUCUAGAAUUUUCCUGAUUCGCUCAGAUUGAAAUUGAACAUUCAAGUUGAAACUAUGAUCUACUCACUUGCAUGUUUGAAAUCUACAAGGACAACUUUCUAAAAAUAUUUUGCAAGGACUGUAUAUUUCAUAUGUCUUUCAGAGGCCAGAUAUGAAGUUACAUUUUCUCAGAUAACUAAACCUAAGCUCAUGGUGUUAAAUAUCCAUAGACACCCAUCUAUUCAGUGGCCAGCAGGGCCUGAAGCCAUAUGAUAGCCACCAUUGCACACAUUUUGCCACCAUGUCACCUGUUAUCAUUUGCCCUUCACAACAACUUUAAAAGGCAGAAAUAAGAGGUGGGAUUUCCAUUUGCCUGAUGAAAAAACUGAGUUUCUUAAAAUUUAGUACUUGCCCAAAGACAAAGUGAAUUAAUUAAAUACUGGUCUCUUGACAUCUGUGUCUAAUGUUCUUGUCAUAACAUGAUGUUCUUGUCAUAACAUGAUGCUCUUGGUGUUGGUAAUAAAACUAAUGUUUCUCAAAUAGAGGAUGAAUUUGUGAGUUAGUAAAUCAGUUCAGUUUUGACACUGCAAUCUCCAAAGAGAUCCUAAAAUUAUUUUCAUAUUUUCAAACGAUGUGGAUUAAUACUCAGUAUCAGAUUGCAUUCUACAAAUAGUAUUGCCUUGAGAUCCAUCCACUUGAAUUAACCAAAAAAUACUACUAAUUAACUAGACUUGAGAAAGGGCUGGUACUAGGCAAUGUGACUUUUUUAUGUCAUAUGUCACCUGGAUUACAUUUUCACUCUGAUGUACAUGUCAUUGACAGCAGUAGGCUGCUAGAAUUUGACACCAUGAAUUUAUCUGAUGAAGUGCACAGAAAGAGAUCUGUUUAUUAAUUCGUAAGCACAAUCUAGAGCCAUUUUAUAAUACAGUAUUUCCCCCUUCACAGAAUGAAUCAGUACUUGACUGAUUUAAGUAUAAAAUGCCUUGGUUUGUUAAACACAACCCCAUAUUGGGGAGAAUUGGACUUGGGUUCUACUAGCAGUUGUCCCAAAAUUUGCUAUUCUUAAACAAGUUGUCUUCCCUCUCAGGACUUCAAAGUCACCAUCAAAAACUUAGAAACAUCUCAAGUUAACAACCUAAUAUCACAACUAAAACAACUAGAGAACCAAGAGCAAACAAA